rnacentral:snRNA from 1 species
AUUGCUCCUUGACCAUUUGGCUAGGAUCAGGCAUAGUAUCUGUUCUUAUCAUUUUGAUAUCUGAUAUAUCUUCUAUCUGAGGAUAAUAUAUUAAAUAGGUUUUUGCUACCUAUCUAAAAUUUUAGAGGCAGCUCUGAAUAGUUCACUGGAUAGAGUGCUGGGCCUGGAGUCGAGAAGACCUGAGUUCAA